AGAGGUCCCAAGCGUUGUUCGGAUUCACUGGGCGUAAAGGGUGCGUAGGUGGUGAGGUAAGUCGGAUGUGAAAUCUCCGAGCUCAACUCGGAAAUGGCAUUGGAAACUACCUUGCUCGAGGGUUGGAGGGGGGACUGGAAUGCUUGGUGUAGCAGUGAAAUGCGUAGAUAUCAAGCGGAACACCAGUGGCGAAGGCGAGUCCCUGGACAACUCCUGACACUGAGGCACGAAAGCUAGGGGAGCAAACAGGAUUAGAUACCCUGGCAGUCCUAGCCGUAAACGGUGCACGUUUGCUGUAAAAGGAAUCGACCCCUUUUGUGGCGUAGCUAACGCGUUAAACGUGCCGCCUGGGAAGUACGGUCGCAAGAUUA
rnacentral:rRNA from 1 species